rnacentral:rRNA from 1 species
UACGUAUGGGGCAAGCGUUAUCCGGAUUUACUGGGUGUAAAGGGAGCGUAGGCGGUAUGGCAAGUCAGAAGUGAAAGCCUGGGGCUCAACCCCGGAAUUGCUUUUGAAACUGUCAGGCUAGAGUGUCGGAGGGGUAAGCGGAAUUCCUAGUGUAGCGGUGAAAUGCGUAGAUAUUAGGAGGAACACCGGUGGCGAAGGCGGCUUACUGGACGAUUACUGACGCUGAGGCUCGAAAGCGUGGGGAGCAAACAGG